rnacentral:lncRNA from 1 species
CUGUCAGCGUCUUGAACCCAGACACAACACACGUUAUCAUAUAUUACAUUACAUAAUUUGACCUGGAAAAUAUAGACGGCACUCUAACCAUGCCCUUGAAUGUUCGUCUGAAGUGAUUUCUACUGACAGGUAACUAUCAAGUAAACACUAAAACUUUCAUUUUAUUUGAUCAGUUAUUAAUUUAUGAUUAACCUCAUUUUCAAUUGAAUUAUUUUACUACAUAUUUUUUUUCUCAAACAACGUAUUAAAUUGCGCAUGCAUUUAUAAUUGAAUAAAAAAAACUAGGACGAAGAAUUCUUCACGUUAUCAAUUAAGUGAUCUGUGUAAUUGUAUACUAUCAGAUAGUAUAAAUACAAAUUUGACGUUUCACUUCUUGUCUGUUAGAAAGCACAUACGAGGACAUCGAUAUUACUAUUUUUGUUGUAUUGAUUAAUUGGUGUUUGAUUUACACCACCUCUACACACACAGGCUACAUCGAGGUGAUUUUUCUAUUGUAUAGAUUAUUGUUAAAACAUAUACGCUUUGAUAAAUAGUACACCAGUUUCUUCCCAUGUAUAAUCUGAAAACCUUACAACCCUCUAAACCGAAAUGAUCAAAAGUAUAUAAUGAAAAUCAAACAGGAGCAACCCAUCAGACGUUCACAUAAUUUGAAUGUUUUGUUUCGUUAUUACAGCUCUGCCUUUAGAAAAACAAGGGUUUAGAGGUUCCAACAAGCAUUUCCCAAGGCUAUAGCCGUGACAAGUUAUUAAGAAAGGCAUAUAAAUUGCAGACCAGGGAAUCUACAGUAUUCUCCAAAUAUAUUGUAAAGGACGGACGCAACAUCACUAUUCCUCGUACAACUUUGUUGCAAGGGAAUGGUUGCCAACCUGAAAUAAAGCGAAAGAAGAAUUGCACAAAGGUCUCUUUACUUGAAGUGCACACGGGAGAAAAUGCAUAUACUCCAACAUAAACUUUAUACUAUGAUAGAAACAUAGAAAGUUUCAUAAACAAGUGUUUUUGACUGGUUUAUUUGUCUGAAAC